UCUGCAUAACAAUGAAAUGAGAUGUCAUGUUUUAACAAGGCUCCAAAAGCUUCUACAGGUGAACCCACGGAGGGUUAAUCCAGCUGUCCUUCAGCCCAGCCUGACAUCCUGCAGCGGCUGCGCAAGCCCCCCAUCGGGGUUUAACUUUGUACCUCCCAACCCAUGAGUUGUGUAUCGCUCCACCUGCAUGGCUUUUUAAAUUUAUUGGUCGGCUUUGGCACCGAUGCCUCGAAUCUCAGAACCGGAUGCCAAGAAAUAAUGCUGCUAAAUAAAAGACGCAUAAAGAGGCUGGAGGGGUGGCAGCUGUGUGAGAAGACCUCGGUUCAUGUCCUGUUUGGGGUGUCUUUGUGGUUAAGGGUAGCUGGAGUGGUUUCAGGUGUGCAAUCAUCCAACGGCCUACAGCGGCUCACGCACCGCUUCAGCCACACUUCAGUGAAGCGCUUGUUGAUGAGCUCUUUGCUCUUCUUGCUUACCGAAGGUGUUUCUGUCACCUUUAUUAAUAUUAUUCCACUCGUCUCCUGUCAGCUCGGUAUUAUCUCUGGCUCCUGUUAUUAUAUUUCACUUCUCUGGUGUUUUAUAUUUUUUAAAUAUUGAUUCUUGGAUUGUUUUUUAGGUCGUGUUUAUUUUACAGAUGAGAUCCUGGCUUCUGUUUCAUUUCCCACCUUUGUGUUCACCUUUCCUUGUAUCCCUCCUCCUCUGUGCUAAAGUCUGUAAUCACACAGGGUGUGUCGGACCUUCUUCUUCUGUUGUCUCUGUACUAAAGCCUGUGUUUACCCGUCCUCCUCUGUCGGUACUGCUGAGAAUGUAAAAGUGUGAAGGUGAGGAGAAAGUAAAAAUGGGCGUGUCUUUAUACG